rnacentral:rRNA from 1 species
AUUGAACGCUGGCGGCAGGCUUAACACAUGCAAGUCGAGCGGAGAUGAGGUGCUUGCACCUUAUCUUAGCGGCGGACGGGUGAGUAAUGCUUAGGAAUCUGCCUAUUAGUGGGGGACAACAUUCCGAAAGGAAUGCUAAUACCGCAUACGCCCUACGGGGGAAAGCAGGGGAUCUUCGGACCUUGCGCUAAUAGAUGAGCCUAAGUCGGAUUAGCUAGUUGGUGGGGUAAAGGCCUACCAAGGCGACGAUCUGUAGCGGGUCUGAGAGGAUGGGCCGCCACACUGGGACUGAGACACGGCCCAGACUCCUACGGGAGGCAGCAGUGGGGAAUAUUGGACAAUGGGCGGAAGCCUGAUCCAGCCAUGCCGCGUGUGUGAAGAAGGCCUUUUGGUUGUAAAGCACUUUAAGCGAGGAGGAGGCUACCUGGAUUAAUACUCUAGGAUAGUGGACGUUACUCGCAGAAUAAGCACCGGCUAACUCUGUGCCAGCAGCCGCAGUAAAAC